AGGAGGCAGUUAUGAGACGUGAAGAUGAGUAUCUUGUAAAGAGGGAUAGGAGAAUUGGAGGGCAAGUUUGGUGCCAGCAGCCGCGGUAAUACCGACUCCAAGAGUGUGUAUGAGAGAUGCUGCAGUUAAAAAGUCCGUAGUCAUAGAAGGGCAAAGAGAGAUGCGAGGUCUCACAGUGCGAUGAUGGAGGAGCCGAUGGGGAACAUAGUAUACCAGGGCGAGAGAUGAAAUGCCAAGACCCCUGGUGGACUGAGCGAGGCGAAGGCGAUGUUCUUGUAGGCAUUCGGUGAUCAAGGACGAAGGCUGGAGUAUCGAAAGUGAUUAGAUACCGCAGUAGUUCCAGCAGUAAAAGAUGCCGACAUGCUCAUUGGACACAGUGGGCAGGGAGAAAUCUUAGAGUUCGGGCUCUGGGGAUAGUAUGCUCGCAAGGGUGAAAAUUAAAGAAAUUGACGGAGCUACACCACAAGGAGUGGAUUGUGCGGCUUAAUUUGACUCAACGCGAGGAAACUUACCAGGGCCAAGUAUUGUGUAGAAACGAGCAAUACAGGAGUGGUGCAUGGUCGUUGGAAAUUGAUGGGAUGACUUUGACCUUAAAUGGUUGAAUGAGUGAGAUCUUUUGGACAUGUUCCGCACGGAACAGGAAGGAAAAGGCUAUAACAGAUCCGAGAUGCCCUCAGAUGCCCUGGGCUGCACGCGCAAUACAAUAGCAGGUAGAGAGAGAGACAGGAAGGUGCUCAGAUGGACUAUGUGCUGUAAGGCACAUACGAAAGAGGAAUUCCUAGUAAGUGUGUAUCAACAAUGGAUAUUGAAU
rnacentral:rRNA from 1 species